CAUGCACCAGUGGGGUCCCUCGGCCUGGCCUGAGCCCUCUCACCAUCCGGGACCCUCAGGGGAUGUCGGAGAGCCAGUUUCAGCCUGAUCCCACAGGCCAGGCCGAGGGACCCCACUGGUGCAAU
rnacentral:pre_miRNA from 1 species